GUCGAGAAUCUUUCACAAUGGGGGCAACCCUGAUGGAGCGACGCCGCGUGGAGGAUAAGGUCUUCGGAUUGUAAACUCCUGUCAUGCGUGAACAAGGUUGCUUGGUUAAUACCUGGGCAAAUUGAUGGUAACGCAAGAGGAAGAGACGGCUAACUCUGUGCCAGCAGCCGCGGUAAUACAGAGGUCUCAAGCGUUGUUCGGAAUCACUGGGCGUAAAGGGUGCGUAGGUGGCGUGGUAAGUCAGAUGUGAAAGCCCGGGGCUCAACCUCGGAACUGCAUCCGAUACUGCCAUGGUAGAGUACUGGAGAGGUGACUAGAAUUCUCGGUGUAGCAGUGAAAUGCGUAGAUAUCGAGAGGAAUACCAAAGGCGUAGGCAGGUCACUGGACAGUUACUGACACUGAGGCACGAAGGCCAGGGGAGCGAACGGGAUUAGAAACCCUAGUAGUCC
rnacentral:rRNA from 1 species